CCCCUCUCAGGGUUGCAGCUGGAGAGUUUCCUGAACUCUACAAGUCUCAGCUACAGGAGGGAGAGUCAAGCAGAUGCCUGUCCAUUCCAUUCCUGGCUUGGCCAAUGGCUAGUGAGUGGAAGGCAAUCUGCUACAAGU